UUAGCCUCUGUUGGCAGUCCUGGGAGU
rnacentral:misc_RNA from 1 species